GACGAACGCUGGCGGCGUGCCUAAUACAUGCAAGUAGAACGCUGAAGGAGGAGCUUGCUUCUCCGGAUGAGUUGCGAACGGGUGAGUAACGCGUAGGUAACCUGCCUGGUAGCGGGGGAUAACUAUUGGAAACGAUAGCUAAUACCGCAUAAGAGUAAAUGUUGCAUGACAUUUGCUUAAAAGGUGCAAUUGCAUCACUACCAGAUGGGCCUGCGUUGUAUUAGCUAGUUGGUGGGGUAACGGCUCACCAAGGCGACGAUACAUAGCCGACCUGAGAGGGUGAUCGGCCACACUGGGACUGAGACACGGCCCAGACUCCUACGGGGGGCAGCAGUAGGGAAUCUUCGGCAAUGGACGGAAGUCUGACCGAGCAACGCCGCGUGAGUGAAGAAGGUUUUCGGAUCGUAAAGCUCUGUUGUAAGAGAAGAACGAGUGUGAGAGUGGAAAGUUCACACUGUGACGGUAUCUUACCAGAAAGGGACGGCUAACUACGUGC
rnacentral:rRNA from 1 species